rnacentral:rRNA from 1 species
CUGAUUCAGCGGCGGACGGGUGAGUAAUGCCUAGGAAUCUGCCCGAUAGUGGGGGACAACGUUUCGAAAGGAACGCUAAUACCGCAUACGUCCUACGGGAGAAAGUGGGGGAUCUUCGGACCUCACGCUAUCGGAUGAGCCUAGGUCGGAUUAGCUAGUUGGUGAGGUAAUGGCUCACCAAGGCGACGAUCCGUAACUGGUCUGAGAGGAUGAUCAGUCACACUGGAACUGAGACACGGUCCAGACUCCUACGGGAGGCAGCAGUGGGGAAUAUUGGACAAUGGGCGAAAGCCUGAUCCAGCCAUGCCGCGUGUGUGAAGAAGGUCUUCGGAUUGUAAAGCACUUUAAGUUGGGAGGAAGGGCAGUAAGCUAAUACCUUGCUGUUUUGACGUUACCAACAGAAUAAGCACCGGCUAACUUCGUGCCAGCAGCCGCGGUAAUACGAAGGGUGCAAGCGUUAAUCGGAAUUACUGGGCGUAAAGCGCGCGUAGGUGGUUCAGCAAGUUGGAUGUGGAAUCCCCGGGCUCAACCUGGGAACUGCAUCCAAAACUACUGAGCUAGAGUACGGUAGAGGGUGGUGGAAUUUCCUGUGUAGCGGUG